rnacentral:rRNA from 1 species
UACGUAGGGUGCGAGCGUUAAUCGGAAUUACUGGGCGUAAAGCGUGCGCAGGCGGUGAUGUAAGACCGAUGUGAAAUCCCCGGGCUUAACCUGGGAAUGGCAUUGGUGACUGCACGGCUAGAGUGUGUCAGAGGGGGGUAGAAUUCCACGUGUAGCAGUGAAAUGCGUAGAGAUGUGGAGGAAUACCGAUGGCGAAGGCAGCCCCCUGGGAUAACACUGACGCUCAUGCACGAAAGCGUGGGGAGCAAACAGG